rnacentral:rRNA from 1 species
GACAGAGGCCCCGAGCGUUAGUCGGAAUCACUGGGCUUAAAGGGUGCGUAGGCGGGCAGGUAAGUCCGUGGUGAAAUCUCUGAGCUUAACUCAGAAACUGCCAUGGAUACUAUCUGUCUUGAAUAUUGUGGAGGUAAGCGGAAUAUGUCAUGUAGCGGUGAAAUGCUUAGAUAUGACAUAGAACACCAAUUGCGAAGGCAGCUUACUACACAGUUAUUGACGCUGAGGCACGAAAGCGUGGGGAUCAAACAGG